UUUUCUUUCUGGACUAGGCAUACGCUAGCUUGGAGAUCUACACACGUGGAAGGCUGAGGUUAUUUCACCGUGCCUCUUAAAGGUUUAGGUGUAGGAUUCAAUUUGCAACUGCAGAAUUUCUACGAUUCAAGCUUCUGAGGUAUGGCAUGCACAUCUGCUAUUAUCGAAAAGGU